AACAAAGGCUAAAUUUUGUUGUUUUCAUCUUCAGACUAAUGAAAUUGAAGUAUCCAAUGAAGACCCUAGCAGUAUGGAGUAUAUGGAUACAGAUGUUGGCAGCAAUCAGGAGGUGAUCCAGAAGACUCGUGGGAAUCUAUUUGAAGCUGCAUCAUUGAAGACGGAGUUGUAGUUUUAAAGGAUAAAGUUCUUCAGGACCUAUAGCAGUUUACAGUCUGCAAAACCAUGUUGCUGGGACUGAUAUAUGGACUGAACUUGAGCAACCCUCCUGAACUCAGGUACACAUUUGGAAUACUGAAGAAGUUAUUUCUGGAGCCAGAUCCUGUUCCUGGAAUAAGGUUUGAUUGGUAACCCAUGAAUGCCAAUUAGAAAAUGAGUAGUUUGAUAUUUCUGCUAUUUUGUGUAAUUUUGUACCAUGGUUUCAACUGUAUUUAACUGUGUGUAAUUAUUUAUUGCUUGUUUAACAAAUACACUUUGAUCAUUUGUGA